AUUAAAAUUGCGCGCAUCAUUCUGUAACCGCCAUUACACCGUGCUGACUUGAAACGCAGAUUCAUCAGUGGAUUCACCGGAGCGUUUUCGAGAAUUUUUCGAUGGAAUUGAUGAAGAGCAGUCUAAAGCAAAAUCUGCAGUGAACGGAGUAAAAUUUCAAUAAUCUAGUUGGUACAGUUGAGAGAGCGUAUUUACACGAAGCAGGAUACAAAGUUCGAUAAACUUCCGGAUUACUUCGAUGAUAGUGAAUCAUUAUAUUCGCCUCGCCGUAAUUUCGUUCUGUGGUAAUAUACAUUAAAAUGCGCGUUUCGAGUGACGUUAAUGACGGGAGUUGCGUGUAACGUCGCAGGACAAUUCGGUUCGAUUCGCCUGCGACGUCGGGAGUGCCGUUUAAAAUUACGAUUGCGAUUUUUAUAUUCGGGAUGCGAUUUUUAUAUUCGAACGCGUGUGAGUGCCAUGAAAAAGCAGGAAGCUCAAAGAGCAUCGGACAACGUCGGAGCAACAUUAUGACGAAUUUCGGGAUGAUCGUCCUAAUGAAGCACACACCAACGAAGCGAUCCCGAUGGCUUACGUCUACUCGAUCGUGAAUUAGGUUUCGCGGUUACGACCGGCUUCACCUCGUCUUCGGUGCCAACGAGAGGAGAGAAGGCGCUAACGAUGCCAGUGGGAAAGAUGCGAGAUAACUACUCGGCAGUAACUAGCUGCCAGCUGAAUGUGCGGAGAGAGCUCGCUCGUCCGCCCGCUCGCUCGCCUAUCCGCAGUUUGAUUACUAUGGCAGGAAAUUGGGAUUGUCGGAUUCGCGUUGACUAGCUUCGCAACCAUGCGAGAAUUUCCGAUGGACAGCGAGAUCCAGCGAAAAUAAGCGGCACGGAAAGGCCAUGGGCGAGGCGAAGGAGCGACGAGGGUGAGACGGCAGAAAGGGAUGAUAGUCGAAUCAAACGGAUCGUGUUUGCUGUCCGCUACGGUGUGAUGGUGGUGGUGGUGGUGAUGGCAGAGCUAGGCGAUGAAUAUUUGCGUCAUUAGUCGGAAUGCGUAUCGCACACGUCCAUCUCUUAGCCGUCCUAUUUAGCGCUGUUACCCGGCAACUACAUUACCAAGGAUUGCGCUCGUCACGAUUUACGAGUUCCUCGCCGGACGGACAACGGACGAUAUCGCGUCGCGGGCUCGAGCGGACCUAGGAUCGUCAGCGAUAAUAAUUUUCACG
rnacentral:lncRNA from 1 species